GCCAGUCGUCAGUCAGUUGGCCAAGAAACUGGUAGCGUCUGGUGUGGCGAGCCAACAAUGGCUGGCAGGGCGGCCAACACCGGACCCGGACACGGACACGGACACGGACAAUCGCUAUCCGGGUCCCACGGCUAGCUGCCAAUUGAGCGGCAACGGCAGCGGAGUUGGGCUUUCAAUUUGACGCGUAGCCAGCCAAGAAAAGAGUGGCCGGCCAACAACAAAAACAGGUGACGCAGGAUGUGGCCAACGAUGGCAAAGACGAAGGGGAGGAGGAGGACGAGGAGAGAGAGGAGAAGGUUGCAACGCAGCGCACUUUUUUUGGCCACGGACCGCGUUUGAUUAGCCAACUCAAACAUCAGGGCCAAGAUCAGCUGAUGGCCCAUUGACAGCUCUCUUUGGUGGUCCCCCCUCACUCUCUCUCUGUUUGGACUCCCACCCACACACACACACACACCCUUGCAGUGGAACAAACAUGAAGGCGACACAGUGAAGCCUGGGCAGUGAGAACCAGCCCUCAAGGAUACUCGCACGUCCGUCUCGAUUAUACAGCAAAUAAGAAGAAAAGUAAAUAAACAAUUAAAAAAACGCGAGUAUUGGUUUCGCAGCUGCAAAUAACAGCAACAACAACCAGUUGCUCUGUGGUGUAAAAGUGAGUGUGCCAGCGAGUGUGUGUGUGUGUGUGUAUGUGAGUGCGUGUGUGCCAGGCAACUGACCAACAUGGUGCCAAAACUGGAGAGGCUAAGAGAGAGGAGGCGGAGGGGAGGAUUCAAAGGACUCGCUCUGGCUCGAACCCAACACAAGAACAACUGUGAUUUGGCAGGAGCACGCUGAUUGUUUCAUCUGGCCAGGCUUAAUGAAAGGACUCAAGGAUUCGCAAUGGACUUGUCCUGGCCGUCAGCUCAUCAGGCGGAGCAAGAGCAGAGCAAACGCCAAAGGAGCUCCAAAGGAUAAGCAUCUACUCGCCGGGAGCCACAACAUCGGGAUCUCCAAAAGAGGAAAACAAAAACAUGUAAAAUAAUAACCAACUUCAACACUUUAAAAAUAUACUAAAAGUCACGAAACAACAGACUUCACAACGAUCAAAUAUUCUAGAACAAACUACAAAAUAUUUCAAAGCAAUAACUUUAAUUUGAAAUACAAUAUAUAGAACAAUAUUCAAUACUCAUAAACUUUACAUAAUAAAAUGUGCAACAUUAUAAUAUAACACGUGAAAGAUAUAAUACAACAUAAUAUAUUAUAUUAAAAACAAAAACUACAAAAAUAAAAUACAAAAAUAUAUAUUACCCAACACAAACUAUAUUUCAAAUAGUGAAAAUAGUGCCUAUCCUUAUAAAAAAUAAUCGCAUAUAAUAAACAACAUAAUAUAACCAAUGUGCAAUAAAAUUGAGCAAUUAUUAUAUAAUCCCCACACAUAUAAUAUUAUGAACCUAACCAGCACAUAUACAUAUGCAAUAGUUUCAAGCAUAAACAUUAGUGAAAUACAAUACGUUUAUACCCCAACGUCAAAAGGGAUAUAAUGAAAAAUAUAAUAAAUAUUAAUAAGCACUGUCCAAACAUAAUACGACCUACUUUUAUAAUCGGAUCGGGAAAAUCCUUUGGCGAGGUCAAAGCACAAGAUGUAAAUCACAGCCAGCAAAAGACGGCGAAGAGUGAAGGGAAAAUGGAAAACAUCUGAGCGCGGAUAAAUGCUGGAAAAUGCAACUGAAGGCCCAAAGGAUGCCUCGUUGGCCAAUUGAGGAGGAGGCCCAGGAGGCCGAGCCGAUUCUCCGCUGCAACAGCCGAUGGCCUGACCACCAAUGGCAAUGCACAGCGGCGACGAAGCCCGGCCGAAGAGAGGGAGCUAAACGGGAGUCAAAGCCUGGCAAUGCAUUUCUUUUUUGGCAACCUGUCAAGCGACCCCUCACACACACAAACCAACACAUCGACCGACGAGUCCUGCCUCGCUCACAUGCGUAUACGUAAUAUAUCAAGUAUACGCCUGUUGGCCGGGCAGCCAGUGACGGUGUGUCAGUGUGUGUGUGAGUGGGCCACAAAAGAUGCCAAACAGCGUUGCCAACUGCAUUGCCGGGCUGCCAGCGACCCGAAGAUGCCGCCCUCCUCCCGCCCAGGAGGCCAACGACGAGUCCUUUGCAAGCAGCGCAUUGGCUGCAGGACGACCGGAGACAGGACGACCAAUCACCAAUCACAUCGGGGCUUGUGCGCACUAUCCCGGCCGCUUGCAGGACCAGAGGCAUGGAAUCCAGGACCUCAGCUACAGGACCCUAACCGAUUGCCACUUUUAAAAUAUAUGUAUAUCUUAUACUUAGAAGUCUCCUAUUUGUUUAGUUUCUCAUUUGUAAGUGGUAUGCCGAAGACAAAGUCCCCCGAAAACAACAUCUCUGCGGGGGUAUGACACAUAGUCCAACGAUAGAGUAUUUAGUUUCAAGCAGAAGAUAUACGAAGACGAUUUCAAGAAUGCAUAAGAGAAAAAAACGAAUAAAAUUUGUAAAGCUUCAGAGCGGCACAACAAAAAUCA